rnacentral:rRNA from 1 species
GACGAACGCUGGCGGCGUGCCUAACACAUGUAAGUCGAGCGGGGUUAACCGCAAGGUUAACCUAGCGGCGGACGGGUGAGUAACGCGUGGAUAACCUGCCUCAAGGGUCGGGAUAACAGCUCGAAAGGGCUGCUAAUACCGGAUGUGAUGCACUUUUCGCAUGGAGGGUGCAUGAAAGGGGAAACCCGCCUUGAGAUGGAUCCGCGUCCCAUCAGCUAGUUGGUAGGGUAAAGGCCUACCAAGGCGACGACGGGUAGCCGGCCUGAGAGGGUGACCGGCCACACUGGGACUGAGAUACGGCCCAGACUCCUACGGGGGGCAGCAGUGGGGAAUAUUGCACAAUGGGCGAAAGCCUGAUGCAGCGACGCCGCGUGAGCGAAGAAGGCCUUCGGGUUGUAAAGCUCUGUCUGGAGGGACGAAAGAAAUGACGGUACCUCCGGAGGAAGCCACGGCUAACUACGUG